rnacentral:lncRNA from 1 species
UUUUUUUUUUUUUUCUUUUGGCCAUGCAGCAGGAUGCAGAAGUUCCUGGGCCAGGGGUUGCACCCGCACCACAGCUGUCACCAGAGCCACAGCUGUGAAAACACAAGAUCCUUAACAUGGCGAGCAACAAGGGAACUCCAAAAUGAGUUAUUAUAGCAUUGUUAAUUUACAAAGUUCAAUUUCUGCUAUACAGCAAAGUGACCCAGUCAUAUAUAUAUAUAAUUUUUUUUUCAUACUAUCUUCCAUCAUGUUCUAACCCACAAUGGAAAUGAGUCUCAAAAGACCAGCAGGAGUUAGCCAAAUACAGGAGGAGGGUGGGCGCUCCACACAGAAAGAAGAGAGUGAGGGAAAGUGUGGAGCAUGGCGCUUUCAGAGUGAGGAGAGCUGAGGUGCUAGGGGACAAGGUGACAAGGAGAGAUGACAGGGCAAAGGACAUGGCACACAUCAGGUGCCCGUCUCCACGUGCCCCCCUUGGACUCAGGUCCAAGCGUAGGAACCGCACUCCCUUUCUGGACGCCGGCUCACCCUGGCCUGGACCCCGUCUGCCUUCUCUUCUCUGUGGGCUGGGACCCAGUGCUCCAAGAGCCCCGCUGGCCCCAUCUUCCGGGCUCCAUACAGGGACCGGCCCAUUAAUUAAGAUCAAGCCGAGGGGAAACCAGUGAGGCAGGAGUGCCACCCAGGGAGAAAGCCCAGGCUGGACAGAUGCCCAGACCCCAGCUCCGCCUCGUAAUGGUGUGUGGCCCUGGGCAAGUCGCUCCGGGGCUCAGACCGACUUUCAGGAAAGGGAGUUACUGUUAAGGUGACACAGGGCCCCGGCACAGUCCUGCACACACCAGGAGGUGUUCAAGAGUGGGAGCUAAAUUCUCACUAACUGAGUAAACUGAGGCUGUCCCCAAAACCCCAGGCCACAGGCUCAUUGGAUCAGCAUGGACUACUGUGCCAGCAACAGCUCGGAUGCAGAGGGCAGCCGCAGUUGUGGGGUGGCAGGGGGCCAGGGUAGCCUCAGUGGAAGGCUGCUCAGGGCCAUUCUACAAAGUUGCUGGCUCUCUCCCACCCCCAAUGGGAGGGACGGGGCCAGGCAGCAAGCGGCUCCUAAAAUGUGAGGAAGGUAAGUCAGAGAAAACGUAACAAGCCACAGUAAGCCUUUAUCUGUUUAAAAAGCCCGCCGUGUGGUCUGCUAAGGUCAGUGGGGCCUGGGAAAGCCCCAGGCUAUGGUGUCCCCCGCCAGACUGCAGCCGGAUGCCCAGCUAGGUGACCUCUCACCUGCAAAGGCUGGGUGAGAAGCCUCCAAGGUCAUGGUGAAAGUCAGCAAGAUGUCCAGGGAAACUCUAGGCGUAAGUGAAGGGUGAAGGAGCAGGGUGCGGGAGGAAACGGUGGGCAAAGACUUUCAGAGCUGGGUGAGCGGACACCCUCCAGCCAGAAGGUGGCCACUGGGGUACUGUGACAGCCAGCAAAGGCAGUCUCCGCCUGCAAGCUCAUCUGCCUGGUCCCUCAGGACUCCCUUAGCACCUGCAUAGGAAGAAGCCUUCCCCUGACCCCCAGGCAGGACAAGGUCCCACCUGGUCACCCCGAACAUCAUCGUGGCUCCCUCACCUGUCCUCACCCACCCAGGUGGGAGCUCCCUGAGGGCAGGGGCCUGUCUGAGGCAAGCAUGGAGCCAGCACCGAGAAAUGAGCUGCCCAGCACAGUGGAGAGGUCGAGCUGAGCCCAGGCUUCUCCACUGCUCUGUGUGUGGGGUCAGGGUGGGGCUGGCCCUCUGAGGGAGGUUCCAGUAGGCAAGAACUUGGAGUCUGGAGUCAGAACAAAAGCGAGGAAAUGGCCUGGAGAAGUGUGCAGUAUUGGAACCCAUGAACUCACAUUUAUGGAGCCCCUACUGAAUACUAGAGUAUUCUGUGUACCCAUAGUGUCUUAUUUCACCCUAGCAACUACCCCUAGAAAUGCAAACUCCCCGUCUGUAAAAUAAGAGAGAAGCAAAGCAGCCGAGUUCACUGAUCUUAGGAGAGACCCAGGCAGGACCCAAGCACCAGGGUCCUUUCCUCAGGCUCCUUGAUCUCUGUUCCUGGUAUCCAGGGACAGAAGGAGGGCCGAACCCACCAUCAGGAGGCUACACACCAAGUGCAGAAAUGCCUGAAAUGCAAGAAUCCCUGGGGCCAUUUGGAUCCCAGCAGCAACCCUCGCUUUACAAGGUGGGACCAUUCUGAGGGUUUUCCUCCCCUCGGGGGAGCCGGCAAGCUCCAAGCGGCUAAUGCUGUGCUCGGCAGAGGGUUGAGUUUAAUAAAACUAGAAGCAGCUAAUGGCUAACAAUAAAAAAUAAUAUUUUUCCUUCAAGCAAUUAAAUUGUAAUAUAGAGCUCACUAAUUCCUUCCUGUUCCUUCCCAUGGGAUCUCGGAUCAAGCACCAGGAGAAAUAAAUUAUGCGUCGCUAUUCCCCGCUUGAAACUCAAGUUUUAAAGAAUCUUUGGGAGAAAAAUGGCCUCCUUCAUUAAGGCAGAAAUCUCUGAGGAUUUUUAUAGCGGUUUCUUUACAAGAUACCUCUCUGCAACUGCAAGAUCCACUACCCACCCCCAUCUGAAAGAUCAAUAAAUUCGCUUCUUGACCCUUCUCCAAAGAACUACAGUGUAUAAAAGUUAAGGGUACCAGAGCACAGCUAAAAGCUCUCCAUGGCUCCCUGUGUCUACGAGGAGACAAAGAGAACCCCCCACCCUGCCUGUCCCCAUCCUGGCCUGGCACACAAGGCCCUCUAACCUUAUUUCUCUCUGCUCUCGCCACGCACUCUUCCCUCCAGCCAAUCAGAACGCAUUGCAGCUCCUCACACAUGCCCUCUGCUUUCCCAUCUCUGUACCUUUGCCUGCAAGAGUGGUGCUGCCUGGAACUCCCUUCCCAUCAAUGCUGGAGCUGCAGCAGGUGGUCCACGCAUGGAAAACUCUCAGUCUCAUGAAGACCUUCCCCUUUCGGCCUUGGGGUGACAGCCUCCUGGGAGAGCCACCUUCAACUAGGAACAGAACACCCUCAACAUGGCAGCACCAUGCAAGUGACUCCUCUCUGUGCCCAGCCUGGUACCCAGGAUUUUACAGGAGGUGAAUCCAUAUCCACCACAUGAACUAAUAAAUGAACUCUUAUAACCACUGAGAGGAGUUCUGCUGUAGCUCAGUGGGUUAAGAACCUGACACAGUGUUUCUGAGGAUGCGGGUUUGAUCGCUGGCCUCACUCAAUAGGUUAAGGAUCCAGCAUUGCUGAAAGCGGUGGAGUAGGUCACAGAUGCGGCUUGGAUCCUGUGUUGCUAUGGCAGUGGUGUAGGCCAGCAGCUACAGCUCCAAUUCGCCCCCCAGCCUGGGAACGUCCAUAUGCUGCAGGUGAGGCCCUAAAAAGGAAAAACAAAACCAAACCAUGGAGGCCUGUUUACCUUAAGACCAGAAGGGAGCUGGGAAAAGCCAGGAGAAGGUUCCUCUGGACACUAAACCGGGAGUGGGGGAG